rnacentral:rRNA from 1 species
CUUGCAGGGGCGAGUAAAGUGGCGCACGGGUGAGUAACGCGUGGUUAAUCUACCCUUGGGUUUGGGAUAACGUUCCGAAAGGGGCGCUAAUACCGGAUAAGACCACGGUGUCCACGGGCACUGGGGUAAAAGUGGGCCUCUACAUGUAAGCUCAUGCCUGAGGAUGAGACCGCGUCCCAUUAGCUUGUUGGUGAGGUAACGGCUCACCAAGGCCGCGAUGGGUAGCUGAUCUGAGAGGAUGAUCAGCCACACUGGGACUGGAACACGGCCCAGACUCCUACGGGAGGCAGCAGUGAGGAAUCUUGCGCAAUGGGGGAAACCCUGACGCAGCCACGCCGCGUGGGUGAAGAAGGCCUUCGGGUUGUAAAGCCCUGUCAGGUGGGAAGAACCGCGGUCCGGUCAAUACCCGGGCUGCCUGACGGUACCACCAAAGGAAGCACCGGCUAACUCCGUGCCAGCAGCCGCGGUAAUACGGAGGGUGCAAGCGUUGUUCGGAAUUACUGGGCGUAAAGCGCGUGUAGGCGGACCGGUAAGUCGGGAGUGAAAGCCCUGGGCUCAACCCAGGAAGUGCUUCCGAUACUGCCGGCCUUGAGUUCCGGAGAGGGUGGUGGAAUUCCCGGUGUAGAGGUGAAAUUCGUAGAUAUCGGGAGGAACACCAGUGGCGAAGGCGACCACCUGGACGAGGACUGACGCUGAGACGCGAAAGCGUGGGGAGCAAACAGGAUUAGAUACCCUGGUAGUCCACGCCGUAAACGGUGUUCACUAGGUGUAGCGGGUAUUGACCCCCGCUGUGCCGCAGC